UCCAUCCUUACGGAUUAAAUAUGCUUAACUCUUGUCUCUGCUUUAGUCUGUUUGUGUGUGAAUGCAGAGGCAGCAGAUGUUUACCAGAUAAAGGUUCUCCAGGGCUGAGUCAGCUGACAGGAAGUAAAGAAGAAAGAAACAGGAAGGAAGAAGACGGAGACAAACGAUGAGAAAAGCAGCAAUGACUGGCGGGAAGUGUGGAACAGAACAGAAGAUGAAAGCUGUAAACAA